CUGGAGUGCAGUGGCGAGAUCUUGGCUCACUGCAACCUCCACCACCCGGCUUCAAGCGAUUCUCCUGCCUCAGCCUCCUGAGUAGCUGGGAUUACAGGCGUACGCCACCACGCCCAGCUAAUUUCUGUAUUUUUAGUAGAGACGGGGUUUCACCAUGUUGGCCAGGAUGGUCUUGAUCUCCUGACCUCGUGAUGCACCCGCCUCAGCCUCCCAAAGUGUUGGAAUUACAGGCGUGAGCAGCCACGCCCGGCCCUAUUUUCUAUUUUGGUUAUUUCAGACUAGGAAUACAGAGACGCAGAAAACCACAGCUGUGCACUGAGACCACUGACACUUGGGAGUCACCACACUCCAGGCACAGGGACCGCCACGAACAAGCGAGUCCUCCCAGACACGCAGGAGUAGCCCCCAAGGCUGACAAAAAUCACAACAUUUGUUCCGGGGACAAAAGGAUGGACACAUCCAGAGACACGGACACACCCACAAAUCAUCGCCCCCACUCUUCAGCCUCACAGCGCCCCCCUGGUCCCUCCAGAAUCUCUGUCAUCAGUCACCCCCAUACACACAGCAUCAUCCAUCGGGGGUGGGGGCCCCGCCACACAGAUGCCACUCCCCAGACCCAGAAGAUGACCGCAAGCUGCUGCAACGCAGGGCAGGGGUUCAGGGUGUCCGUAAUCUCCCGCCUCGCCCUGUCUGAGUCCCCUUUUCUGUCGCCUGGAAAAACCACAGCAGCCGCCCUCGCAGAAGUACGGACCUUCGCCCGUGCCUCAGCGGCUUCCGUAAUCCCAGGGGGUCCCACGGCACGAGGCUUAAGCGGCAGGGCGCGCUGCAUGCCGGGAGGAGCUCGAUGGGCGGGGCUUUGAGCGUCUGCGCAGCCUCCGUUUGAGGUCGCCGUUUCCCACAAGCCCCCGGGGCAGGGACCUCGCCGGCGCAGUUGUCUGGCCAGGACUGCCCGGGUGCUGCGGUGAGCUUCGGGGACUGGUCUGGCUAGUCCUUGUGCAGCCACUGCCUCCGGCCUCGGUGAUUGCGAAAGUGUGAGGGACAAAUGCAGGCCUGCUUACAUUCCUCACACGGAGGUGCUGUUCGUCCACAGUGAGACUUGACGUGCCUUUUCAGAGAAGAAAGAUGCGUGAAGACUGUCCUGCACUUGGUGCAUUCAUAUGGUUUUUCUCCAUCAGAAAUUUCCUUGUACAGGCAGGGUCUAGAGAGAUGCUAUGAAGAUGAAGUAACUUUUCCAUUUGAAAUGCUGCAUAACGCAGCAGGCCUCAGUUGUCCAAACGAUGCACAUUUCAUUAGGUCUUUCGGACAAGCCUUCGAUCGGCUACUGGAGAAAACCGUACGUCCUUGGAAUCCACUGCCUGGCUGCAGUACAGUCGGCUCACUGCAGACUCCCUGCCUCUGAUUCUGCUGCCUCGGCCUCCGGGCUGCCUGGGAUUGCUGGCGCGCGCCACCACCCCUGCCUGGUUUUUGUCCUUUGGCUGGAGGCACGGUUUCGCCAUGUCGGCCAGGCUGGUCUCCAGCUCCUGACCUCGAGUGGUCUGCCCGCCUCGGCCUCCCGAGGUGCUGGGACUGCAGACGGAGUCUCACUCACUCGGUGCUCGGUGUUGCUCGGGCUGGAGUGUGGUGGCGUGGUCUUGGCUCGCUGCAGCCUCCGCCACCCAGCUGCCUGCCUUGGCCUCCCAGGGUGCUGGGAUUGCAGCCUCUGCCCGGCCGUCACCCCGUCUGGGAGGUGGGGAACGUCUCUACCUGGCCGCCCAUCGUUUGGGAUGUGAGGAACGCCUCUGCCCGGCUGCCCCAUCUGGGAAGAAGUGAGGAGCGCCUCUGCCCGGCCGCCCCGUCUGGGAAGAAGUGAGGAGCGCCUCUGCCCGGCCGCCCCAUCUGGGAGGUGAGGAGCGCCUCUGCCCAGCCACCACCCUGUCUAGGAAGUGAGGAGCGCCUCUGCCCGGCCACCCCGUCUGGGAAGUGAGGAGCGUCUCGGCCCGGCCGCCCCGUCUGGGAAGAAGUGAGGAGCGCCUCUGCCCGGCCGCCCCGUCUGGGAAGUGAGGAGCGCCUCCGCCCGGCCGCCCCGUCUGGGAAGUGAGGAGCGCCUCCGCCCGGCCACCCCGUCUGGGAAGUGAGGAGCGUCUCGGCCCGGCCGCCCCGUCUGGGAAGAAGUGAGGAGCAUCUCUGCCCAGCUGCCCCGUCUGGGAGGUCUACCACGGAGGCCAGAAGCAAUGUGGGGGCUGGACGUGGUGGCUCACGCCUGUAGUCCCAGCACUUCGGGAGGCCGAGGCGGGUUGAUCACUUGAGGCUAGGAGUUCGAGACCAGCCUGGCCAACAUGGCAAAACAUGAAAAAUAUAACAGACCAACCAACCAACCCAGUGACAACAAAACAGGUCUACCCUGGAGUCAUACUCUAAUUUUUUCUAUUUUCCUCCCUUUCUAAUCCUUUAUCCCACUUUCUUUUUCUUCCUCUUCCUUCUCCUUCUUCUUUGUCAAAUAGAGGAUUAUUAUCACUGAUCCAUAUAAAGUCCCUCUCUCGUUUAUUUUCAAUUCCCACCCCCAUUUCUAUUCCCCGUCUUCCCAUGUGCAACCUUCCUAAUAUGUUUGAUAUGCAUCUUUUUGUUUGUAUGUAUUUUUAGAAAAUGUUUAUUGUUUUGUGUGCAAAAAAAAUUAAUAAAAAUAAAUAAAGAAAAAGUAAA